UCGAAUACCCGCCUCAACCUUAGUAUUCGAGACUAACGGCAAGAUGCAUCUGAAGGAGGUUGAGGCUAAGGGGUACUACAUUGAUCUCUGGGAGAGCUUGAAGAGUUUGCUAUCAAAUCCUGCUGUUAGAGAAGAGAUCAUUGGAAAAAGUCAUGUCAGUACAGAUGGUAUAUCAUGCGCGAUAUCUGUGAUGGGGACUUUGUUAAGAAACAUCCUGCAUGUCUUUCGAGCACAUCCAGAUGGUUUACAGUAUCAUGAUGACAUUGAAGUUUGUAAUCCUCUCGGAACCAGUGCUGGAGUUCAUAAGCUUGGUGUGUUUUACUAUACAUUGGGAAACAUAAGACCAGUGUUUCGAUCAUCGCUCCAAGCUAUUCAACUACUUGGAGUGGCUAAGUCAUCGGACAUGAAUCAGAGUGCACGUGAUAUCCUCCUCAGAAACUUUGUUCAAUGUAUGAAAUUGCUUUCAACAGUAAGUGUUGCUGGUAGUUUUCUUUUUUUUAACAUUACUGUGACGUACCUAUGAUAAUGGAUGUCUCGUGUGUAUGCAGUUAUGUACAUUUCAGAUAUGCUAUUGCAGGAUGAAGGAUACAGGUUAGAGCUAGACUCAGGUGUGGUAGUACUUCAUGGAGCUGUCGUCUGUCUCUGUGGUGACAUACCUGCUAGUAAUUUUCUUGGAGGGUUUGCGCUACGGAAAUGCAGGCAGUGUCUUUGUUCGAAGGAAGAUUUAAAAGAUAAUGUUUUCAUGUUGGUGCGUAUACCCUGAGAGACUCUCAUAGUCACAACCAUUACUGUCAGCUAGUGGAAAGUGAUGUGAAUGGAUGUUUGGGGUACUCAACUACGUAUGGAGUGAAUAAUGCGAGCAUUCUUCUGGACAUUCCAUUCUUUGAUGUCACCAAAUGUCUUCCGUACGACAUAUAAUGCACACAAUAUUUGAAGGUGUUGCUCCACGUCUCCUCAAAGAGCUUCUUGUUACUUUUAUCAAUAUUAAGAAGUACUCACCUUGUCAGAGCUCAACCAGUCUCUUGCAUCCCACCAUUACGGAUAUUCAGAGCUUGACACCAAACCAAACACAAUUGCUGGGUCGACGAUGGAGUAUCAUAUCAAACAGAAAGCUUCUCAGAUGAAAGCACUGAUCCGAUUAUUCCCGUUUAUCAUGGGGGGCUUUGUUCCAGAGGGCGAUGAACACUGGGGUCUUCUCCUAACUCUGUGGGAUAUCUGCACAAUGGUGACCGCAUUUGUGGUUACAGAGGCAGAUGCUUCUGAUCUGGCAUGGAAAGUAGAGUUGUUGCUAGAAACAUAUGUGCAACUCUAUCCAAACUCGCCCUAUGUUCCAAAGAUGCAUUAUCUUCUGCAUCUACCUGACGAACUAUUAAAAUGUCUAAAUUAAUGCAUAAAGUAUAUACUUUAUUUCAUUAGAUUUGGUCCACCGCGAAACACAUGGUGUAUGCGGUUUGAAUCCAAGAAUAAGGAGUUAAAAGGUUUCACCUCAAACUGCUUUAAGAAUGUCCCAUACAGUGUGAGUGUCCGACACCAGCAGAGGUCUUGUCACCUUCUAGCAGUGCGUCCUGGACAAGAGAUGUCAAAUUUCUUGUACAAAUUAAGGAGAUGAAUGUAUCCUCAGGAAAAUCUGUCAUUUUGGACAAUGAUCUGGUAGCACCGGUUUCACAACUGUAUGGAUUGGACUACCCUCAGCUGCCACUUGUUGCUUAUCCGUUAACUUUCACAACAAGUUUGUACCAGUGUAUACAUUUUUAAUUGUUACGAUGUCAGCAAACAAACCCACAGUAUUCUGUUUAAAACAACAGUAACUAUGAAACCAUUACAAUGCUCUUCAGUCUUGUUUUCACUACAAACCUUCGAUCAGUUUGAAACUAUCUGACUUUGCACUUCAACACUUUUGUCCAACCUCUUCAUUAAUUAGUUUGGUACGUGCCUUUUAGAAGUAUAGACAUCCCUUACCUCCAUUACAGAAGUUGUUGCUAUAAUUAUAUGGUACGUACUGUGUUCAUGCACUCAAACCAGAUAUAGACUUUUAGUGGCUUGAGCAAAGCGAUUUGCUAAUCACAGAAGUUUGGUCACAUACAAACUCGUGUUGUAAUAGUAUAUAUUAGUAUAACUGAAUUAAUUAUCUUUGCAGGCCAAACUUUGUAAAGAUCCAUGGUGUUCGGUACACUCAGAACUCCGUUAUUCGUAUCAAAGAUCAUGGCACCAUCAUUUCGGCUGAACAUACUCAUUUUACUUAUUGCAUUAUUCAAGAUAUUUAUGUCAUAGAAGAUAAUAAGGUCAGGCAGCUCGAAGUAGUUGAUAAUACCCCUCACUUGAGAAGCACCUGUUUAGAACUUUCAGAAACCAUUUCAUCAUUAACUUAUGAUGAUUUUUAUUCUCACGGUAUUCUACAUAAUUAUGAAGACAAAAGGAGAUCAACUCUACAUAAUCGAAAAGGACACUUGUAUUUUUAAACGGACAACAUUUUUUUCUUUACUAAGUUGAUGGCACACUACUAUAAUUAUAAUUAUAUAUAUACAUGUAUCAUGAUGAGUUUUCUGAUUGAGAAGAGUUAUAACAAUUAUAAUGC